UCUGAUUGUAGUAGUGGAGCAGGGUCUGAAGGUUCAAUCUGAAGUUCUUCCCUGUGUUCCUGGCUUUCCUUGUCUCCUCCUCCCAAUACUCUGGCCCCUCCUGCUCCAUCCACGGCGCCCUCGGUUCUACCCUCGGAGUCUCCGCGUCGCUGUCGAAGCGCACGAACUGCGUGUUGUCCACGUAGCCGACGGUGAUGUACCGGGGCUCCCCGCGGCCGGGCCGGGACGCGAUGGUGUGGAAAUACCGCAGCGAGUGCGAGCCUGGGGGCGGCGCGCGGGCUCCACUCUCGGAUUCUCUGCGACACUGUCGAAGCGCACGAACUGCGUGUCGUCCACGUAGCUCACGAAAAUGAACCACGGCUCCCUGAGACCAGGCCGGGACACGGCAGUGGUGAAACUGAGCAGCGAGUGUGAGCCUGGGGGAAGCGUGUUGUGAGUCCCCGACCCUCCUCCCGGGACCCCCGGCAGAAGAACUCAACAGAGGUUGGAAGUGAAACAGGCAUUUCGCCCAGCGCCACCUUUUCCCUGAGACCCGGAGAGCCACUGCCUGGGCACCUGAGGCUGCAAUGACUCCAGAACUGCGGGGAAAGAGCGCCUGCCCGUUUGUCAACCUGUCUCCCUGAGCCCUAUUCAGAGGCUGUCUGUGGAAUUCAGGGGGAGACUGCAGACUGAUCUCAGACCUUCUCUAAUUCAAUGCUGUGAAGAUGCACUCCACCCAUUCCUGGGACACAGGACUCUUCCAGAAGAAGAGUGUGGGCGAGUGUGUGGGCCACAGGCCACAGUGAGCUGGUCUGGGAAUUUAGUGGAGGUAGGUCUCUCUCUGUCUCUGUCUGUCUCUGUCUCUCUGUCU